rnacentral:rRNA from 1 species
UAACACAUGCAUCUCGAACGGUAACAUUUCUAGCUUGCUAGAAGAUGACGAGUGGCGGACGGGUGAGUAAUGCUUGGGAACUUGCCUUUGCGAGGGGGAUAACAGUUGGAAACGACUGCUAAUACCGCAUAAUGUCUUCGGACCAAACGGGGCUUCGGCUCCGGCGCAAAGAGAGGCCCAAGUGAGAUUAGCUAGUUGGUAAGGUAACGGCUUACCAAGGCGACGAUCUCUAGCUGUUCUGAGAGGAAGAUCAGCCACACUGGGACUGAGACACGGCCCAGACUCCUACGGGAGGCAGCAGUGGGGAAUAUUGCACAAUGGGGGAAACCCUGAUGCAGCCAUGCCGCGUGUGUGAAGAAGGCCUUCGGGUUGUAAAGCACUUUCAGUUGUGAGGAAAAGUUAGUAGUUAAUACCUGCUAGCCGUGACGUUAACAACAGAAGAAGCACCGGCUAACUCCGUGCCAGCAGCCGCGGUAAUACGGAGGGUGCGAGCGUUAAUCGGAAUUACUGGGCGUAAAGCGCACGCAGGCGGUUUGU